rnacentral:rRNA from 1 species
UCUUUUCCUUUUUUUCCAGCAGCCGCGGUAAUACGGGGGAUGCGAGCGUUAUCCGGAUUUAUUGGGUUUAAAGGGCGCGUAGGCGGGACGGCAAGUCAGCGGUAAAAGACUGCAGCUAAACUGUAGCACGCCGUUGAAACUGUUGACCUGGAGACGAGACGAGGGAGGCGGAACAAGUGAAGUAGCGGUGAAAUGCAUAGAUAUCACUUGGAACCCCGAUAGCGAAGGCAGCUUCCCAGGCUCGUUCUGACGCUGAUGCGCGAGAGCGUGGGUAGCGAACAGG